GACGAAGGGGGCUAGCGUUGUUCGGAAUUACUGGGCGUAAAGAGCGCGUAGGCGGUUUGGUAAGUUGGAAGUGAAAGCCCGGGGCUUAACCUCGGAAUAGCUUUCAAAACUGCCAGGCUAGAGUGUAGUAGGGGAUGAUGGAAUUCCUAGUGUAGAGGUGAAAUUCUUAGAUAUUAGGAGGAACACCGGUGGCGAAGGCGGUCAUCUGGGCUACAACUGACGCUGAGGCGCGAAAGCGUGGGGAGCAAACAGG
rnacentral:rRNA from 1 species